GUGAGGGUGAGUUGGCCGUGACAUCUCUUACCCUUGGAUUGCCAGGGUUGAUAUUUCUGAUCUGGCUGGCUAACUGAGUGUUUCCUUCCUCCCUCACCACUCCUUUCUGAAAUUGUGCACUCAGUUCAAGAGGACAACCUUUCCUCAUAAAGGAGGAACUUUCUUUGACCAAGGGUAUAGAAGAUUAUACUAGAAUCGCCAAACAAGUACUCAACAAAACCCUCCAAGUUAACCCAUAAAAUUAAACAUCAUAUAAGUCAGUUUUCCCUU
rnacentral:snRNA from 1 species